UAGCAAAUAGAAAGAUAUUGAUAAUCCUAAUUGACUUAAAAUGGGAAAAGUUUAUUUUCAUUUCAUGUCAGUGUGAAAAAAAUGCAUAUGUACGUAUAACCAAAAGUUAACAUCUCCACACAUUGCCACACACCUACUGUCUGAACAAGUUAAAACAUGUAGUAAUCGCAGCUCUUCCACCAUUCAGUUUGACAUUUGCUCACACUGCAAAACAUCACUGAAAUGUGUGUACCCAUUGCAACUACACAAGCCGUACCCUGUGGCUGUAGUUAAAAGCCUCCAAAAUGGGUUAAUUUGCACAUUUGAAGAGCUUGUUUUUUUCUACAUUCAUUAUUAUUUUAAGUAAAACUGAGUCAGAGCAGCAGCGAAGGUAAAAGCAGAGCUGUACACAUGAUGAAAGCUCCGGCCUGACUGGUGUUUCUGAUAGAUGAGCAGACCAUGAAGAUGCUUUUGAUGUGACCCAGUGACUCCUGCUACCAGGCAGAUCUAACACCAAUUUGGCUCACAGGUGUUCUAUGCUAAAGGCAUACAGCUGUUUCCUCUAUUAUUACCUUGUCAGCUAGGCUGUAGGGCUCAUUAGGAUGAGCGUUUUGCUCGUAAGUGCUCAUUUUGACAGUGAUCAAAGCCUGUUGGCUGCUGAGGGUUUGACAGCUUUAAUUUUUCAGAGGCCGGUAACUGAUGUUUUUGUUUAGGAUCCGGCCCAAACAUCCGCGCAUGAUUAAAAAAAAUCUGAUUUUUGGGUAAUAACAGACUUGGUUUGGAUUAGAGGGGUUAAGUGCUUCCCAUACCUGUUGUAUUACAUAUAGCACAGAACCAUAAAGCACAACUAAGUUUCAUCGCAUUACAUCUCUUUUAAUGUCAAACGUUUAGAUUUUUUUUCCCACAAGAGAAAAAAUUAAACGAGACAGGAACAUCUGUAUCAUGCAGUAGGCUUGUAUUCUCUUUUUUAAAAAUUAAAACAAUUAAAAUCAUGUGCAACUUUAGGUUGUCACAAACUCAAUACCAUAACAGCUAUUUUACAAAAGACCAAGUAUGUAUUCAUUUCCAGCUGUCUCAGGAUGUUUCAUAUCUUUCAUCAACCACCAUGCAUGACUAAAUAAUUCCUGUUUCAGUCUCUUAUACGUGUUGGUUUCUAAAAACAGUAAAAAAUAAUUUGUACACAUUUAAAAAGUCACUUCAAGUUAGCCAUAUGGGUGUUAUGGUUUACAAAGUUCAACAGUCAGCGAAGCUAAGAACCAGACCAGGAGACAGAAAUUAAGUGCUCUUUAUUUACAGGUGCAGGAUAGCGGGUCAUCAGCUGAAAGGGAAUGAGGAGAUGAGGUCUUCUGGAAGCGAGCAGCACAGAACAGAGGAGGACUCCAAAAACACAGGCAAAGGGAGAGAAACCAUCAGCGAGGUAAAUCCACCUUAGAAAACAGGAUAUGAAGGUAAGUACAAGACCUAAAACUUAGAAACUGAGUGUGGCUUGAACACUACCAGAAUGGUAAGAUGUAUCAAGUGAAGAUCUUCUUCUUCUUCUUCUUCUUCUUGUUUAAUGGCGGUUGGCAAGCAACUUAUUGGUGUGCAUUACCGCCACCUACUGGUAAGGAGUGUGGAUCAGAAUGCAACUUAAAAAAAAAA